rnacentral:lncRNA from 1 species
GGGUCGUGCGCUGUGUUUCUGCCCCAGGCCCUCCGAGCUGAGUGGUCGGGGCAGCCACUUCACACCGGGAACGCUGGUCUAAAGCGCCAGGUCUGAGGCUUCUGCACAGGCACCUUUGAGCAAGUGACAUUAGACUAAGCACAAAAGAAAAGAAAAAGGUUAGACUUUAUUUUAUUGCCCAGACUCUAUUUUUGUUCCCCGGGAAUUGUUCCUGGGCUUCACCGUGACUCCGGUGCGAAGAGGUGGGGAAGCCUUUGUUCUGAGCGCGUGAAGCGGAGAAAAGCCUGAGAGCCCCUCCCUGGGCUGCCUGUCCCCGCUCACCUGGGAGGAGAGGAGGUGGAGAGAUCCCCGGUGAUGUGCUCUCACAGAAGCAGGUGACAGGUGGGAACACAAGGAGGCGGCGACUCUGCAGAGCAAGCAGACACAGCAGCCUCUUCCCUGAGAGAGGGUGUGGGGAGCAGCAGGAGAGCCAAGGCCAUUGCCAGCCCAGCACCCGGGAGGUGCCGCCCAGAUGCCGGAGAGCAAAAGGCAGUGCACCCCUGAGCUCACCAGCUGAGACAUCUUGUUUUUGUUUUCUCUGUGAAUGAUCACGGAUGCACCAUCCAGGCUCUGACCAACACGGUGCAGCUCCUACGACCACGUAGCCUAUGGAUGGCGAAGCCCAGAGGCCGCGGGGCAGUCGCUGGGAGGUGCGGCUCAGAGGAGAGGACCUCCGUACACCUUCCAGCAAUAAAAGCAUCUGGUGGACGCCGCUGUGUAGGCUCUGGUUGCCAAGUGAUAAGGUACAUGCCACAACAGCAAAGCCUCCUAGCAUCAAGCUCUGGGCCGGCGUGGAUGGAAGCUCCCGAGGCCAAGAAGACCUGCAGGAUCACAAAGCCUCACUCUGUCCUGACGCACCUGAGGAAACAGCCCAGGGAGGCCUUGGUGUGAUGCACAUCACGAAGGAGAAAGUUGGAGCUCCUUCCACAAGCAAACCAAAGAUGGAUGGAGAGAAAGGAGAGAGAAACGUUUUGGCAGAAGGAUCCUUGGGUGACCAGGCAGCUGGACUGUACAUCAUUUGUGGGGCCAGUCAAAAGAAACUGCCAGACUCUUGUUUUAAAAAUUGUAAAGAAUUUCUCAAGGACACCAGCAGAGCAUUAAACCAAGUGCAGGCCCUUUUGCGCCCGGGCCUUGUACCACUGCCUGGGGUGAUACACACGAGUCCUGCGAGCAGCAACCAGAAUCUCAACACGCAGCACCCCUGGCGGAUGCGCUCUGCUUUAGGCACCAGCACCUCUAGCCACAGAGCCCCGAGCUGUGGGACUGGGGUGAUGGGAGCAGGGCCAGCCUGCCUUUGCUUCCCAGAUCCUUGAAGGGCCGGUUGGGUCCCAGAAGCAUAACGGAAGAUGGUUUUCAACAAGGGGCAGUUUUAGCCCCAGGAGACAUUUGGCAGCAUCUGGAGUCGUUUUUGUCUCAACUCAGGGAGGAGGUGUCUCUGGCAGAGAGUGGGGAGACAGGGUCUUGCUCAACAGCCUGUGAUAUACAGGACAGUCCCCCAAACACAAAAUUCUUUGGCUCUAAAUGUGCACGGCCCCAAGGGUGAGAAACCUUGAUUCAGGGCCUGCGCUGCCUCCUGAACUUAACAAUGCAGCCGGUCCCUGGGUUUUCAUCAUUUCAUCAUUUUA